UUUGGGGAUAUAGCUCAGUUGGUAGAGUGCUUGUCUUGUAUGCAGAAGGCCCUGGGUUCAAUCCCCAGCACCACAAAA
rnacentral:tRNA from 1 species